rnacentral:rRNA from 1 species
CAAUCACUUGUCUUUUAAAUNAAGACCUGUAUNAAUGGCACAACGAGGGCUUAGCUGUCUCCUUUUUUAAGUCAAUNAAAUUGAUCUCCCCGUGCAGAAGCGGGGAUAACUACAUAAGACGAGAAGACCCUAUGGAGCUUAAGAUACUAAGGCAGACCAUGUUAAAAACCCCUCCCCCCGGACUAAACCUGUGGCCCCUGCCCUGCUGUCUUUGGUUGGGGCGACCGCGGGGAAACACAAAACCCCCACGUGGAAUGGGAGAACUCCUCCUACAGCUCAGAGCUUCCACUCUAACAAACAAAACUUUUGACCAACAAGAUCCGGCAAUGCCGAUUAACGGACCGAGUUACCCUAGGGAUAACAGCGCAAUCCUCUUUUAGAGCCCA